UACGGAGGGGGCUAGCGUUGUUCGGAAUUACUGGGCGUAAAGCGCACGUAGGCGGCUUUGUAAGUCAGAGGUGAAAGCCCAGGGCUCAACCUUGGAAUUGCCUUUGAGACUGCAAAGCUUGAACGUCGGAGAGGUGAGUGGAAUUCCGAGUGUAGAGGUGAAAUUCGUAGAUAUUCGGAAGAACACCAGUGGCGAAGGCGGCUCACUGGACGACUGUUGACGCUGAGGUGCGAAAGCGUGGGGAGCAAACAGG
rnacentral:rRNA from 1 species